AAUAGAACAAGGAGUGCGCAUUGAAAUUUUAUCUUUUCCAUCAGAAAGCGCAACGCCCGGAUCAGGAUCAACAGAAUCCAUUUCUUCUAGUUUUCUUGGUGCGGUUAAUGAUUUAAAUGAAAUUUCGUUAUUAGGAAUUUUAAAGUCUAACGUGAAUGGAAAUGCUGUUUUAAAAUACUUUGAAAAUAAUCAAAGUUUAUCAACCAAGACUCGGAAACUUUUAUGUUCCUCGAUCACGGAAUACUUAAUUUAUAACAAAAUUAAGCCAACAAGAUUUCAUUUUUCGAAUUUAGCGGACAAAAUUAUACAACUUUUCCCAAAGGAAUCUAA